rnacentral:rRNA from 1 species
CGCUUGUCAGUGCUGUGCGCUCUGGAGGUUGCCGGGCUGGCUCGCCGGUGCACUUUCUCGGAGUGGUCACCACGACCGGCGUUGUUGUCUUACUGCUGUAGUCAAACCGGUCAGGUUUGGUCCUUGUGGCUGAGCUUGAUCGGGACGGCAGGUAGCUCAUUGGUUGGCUUGUCCAGUCUUUGGGUGUAAUCAGCUGACUGCAGUAGUUCUGUGCAAUACGUCGGAGACGGCGGCUCGAGGUAUUU